rnacentral:rRNA from 1 species
AACGAACGCUGGCGGCAUGCCUAACACAUGCAAGUCGAACGAGACCUUCGGGUCGAGUGGCGCACGGGUGCGUAACGCGUGGUAACCUGCCCUUAGGUUCGGAAUAACUCCCCGAAAGGGGUGGUAAUACCGGAUAAUGUCUUCGGACCAAAGAUUUAUCGCCCUUGGGUGGGGCCGCGUUGGAUUAGCUAGUUGGUAGGGUAAAAGCCUACCAAGGCGACGAUCCAUAGCUGGUCUGAGAGGAUGAUCAGCCACACUGGGAAUGAGACACGGCCCAGACUCCUACGGGAGGCAGCAGUGGGGAAUAUUGGACAAUGGGCGAAAGCCUGAUGCAGCAAUGCCGCGUGAGUGAUGAAGGCCUUAGGGUUGUAAAGCUCUUUUACCCGGGAUGAUAAUGACAGUACCGGGAGAAUAAGCUCCGGCUAACUCCGUG